rnacentral:misc_RNA from 1 species
UUUCCGUAGGUGAACCUGCGGAAGGAUCAUUACAGAGUUCAGGCCCUCACGGGUAGAUCUCCCACCCUUGAAUAUUUAUACCUUAGUUGCUUUGGCAGGCCGUGGAAACACCAUUGGCUCCGGCUUAUGCGUGCCUGCCAGAGGAAACAAACUCUGUUUUUAGUGAUGUCUGAGUACUAUAUAAUAGUUAAAACUUUCAACAACGGAUCUCUUGGUUCUG